AAGCUUUGUGGAAUUUUUACUUUCUAGAGGGAAGAGAACGGUAGCUGGAGACUGGUCUGCAUUUGUAAAACAACAUAGCAAGACUACCAUUCCUGACUCUGUUCUGGCAGACGGGGGAGAAACAGGCUUGGUGCCCAUGUGGGGACUGUUUUUUUUUUUUUUUUUCUCCUUUCAUGAUGGCUUUGAGUCCCUUCUGUUUCUUGCUGUCGAGAUGUGGACCCAUCAGAAGUUUUGCCACACGUGUUGGGGAGCAGAGAGGUGAGACAAAGGUCGCCUGGGAUAGCACGCAUACCGGUCUUCAUGCUAGCCAGAGGUCCGUGCGUGUAAGUUCUGUGGGUGAUCUUCCUCCGCCUUGGCAAGUGAUUGCCACUGCGCGCUUCUCCACGGAUCCUUCUCCUGCGCCGGCUUGGGGAUGUUGUACCUCUGAUGUCGCUGGUGGGCCCGGGGCUUCCGCCGGGUUUGACUGAGACCGUGAACGGCUCUCACUCCCCCCCACCCCUUCUCUCUCCCCUAUUUGAAUUGUCUGUGUGUGCUUGAAGAUGAGGUAAUUAAAUACAUCCUUGAAGGAUACAGAAAGCAAUAACACUCCUCUCCUUGCCUGAUUCUGGGGGAGCACAAUUCCUUAAACUACCAGGUUGGCUUGUCAAAUGAGGUAUUGUUUUUCAAAAUAUAGCCUGAACGGCAUCCGUUAUAAUUAAGGCUUCUGGCUUUCGGUUUAAAGUGAUAUUUGCCAGUAAAAGCCUGCCAAAAAAUAAAUAAAUAAAAGCGGGCUUACCGUUAAAUAUUGAUUUAAGCUUGGAAACUGGCUCCAAAUUUUGUUAUACCAGUCUUGAUCUCUGUGGCCUCUGGGCAUCUGUUUCAAUUUGGUCAAAUUGAAAUGGGGAGGGACAGUGCCAGGCUAACAGCAAGGUGAUCCAAUAUAGUACGAUGAGUUGUAUUUGAUGAAAAAGAGCCAGGCAGAGUCAUCUACAGAUCCCGGGGACAGGUGAACUGGGCUCAGCUACAAUAAGAGCUGAUGGGCAUCUUAACUCAUCUUAUGGGCUGACCUGAGCCGAUGAUGGGUUUUCUGUAAUGUAAACAAUGUUGAGUAAUCUUUUGGGGGCAGUAUGGGAUUUUUGUUUUGUGUUGUUUCUGCCUUUCUGCAUAUCCUGCUAGGUGCAGGCUUCUCCUCCAGCUGGCCACUUUCCUCAGGAUCCUUUCAUGUCACUGGCAGGGAUACUAAACAGCCCAGAUCGAAAACUUUUUCCUGUGAACUGAAUUUCUCGCUCCCUAACUGGAGGUUUUCUCCUAUCCAGGAGAAAAGGGAAGGUCCUCAGGAGAAUUUUCUCCCCCGGAAUGUAUUUACUUGAGGCUUGUUAUUAUCCACCUCUGUCUCUGACAAGAGAAGGCAAACAGGAAGAGGAGGGUUAAAAGUUCCUGAAAAAAGGGCUCUUGAUGAGACUGAGCUCCACGGGUGCAGAGUGCCUGAGAUCCAUUCAUUUCGACAACCUCGGUUAUUCCGGUGCCUCUCAUCAUCUGUAAAGUUAACAAGGGCUGAUAAGACAUGAUGAGGCAGGGUACUGGUUUGUAUUUCCAGCCUCAUAAAUAUUUCACAAUACCAUUUUCUUACAAUCAGAUACAUUAGUUUGCCAAGUGUGGAUGCUGCUGGAUGCUCGCUCGGUGCUGGUGUUUCACAAAAGCCCUGCUUUUAAACCGGCACAUUUAGGGCCUUGAGGUGCACAUCACUUGCCACUGUACCUUGCUUUCAAAUGCAUGUUCUAAUUCGGGUGAGAGAGUUGCUGUCUGACCUCUAGAAACUGCUGCUGUCUACCUUGAAAAAUAUAUUGUUAUGCUCUACAGGCAAAAAAGCAUCCCUCUUAGCCACAUUCUCAUAUUCUUUUUCGUUUUCCAGCCCUGCUAUGCCCUUGUGUUUCUUUGUACUUCACACUGUGGACAGUAGAAUCAGGAGCCAGAGGGUGAAUUUAAUUUGGAACAGACCCCCCUGUCUUGAUAGAACUGCCUUUACUCAGGCUUAAACACAGCAACCUGCAAUUUCCUGAGGCCGUAACUCAGCCGGGGCUCUCACAGGCUCUAAAAAUGAAGUCCAGACUCAGCACCUCUCAGAGCUCACCCAGCUCCUACCAACAACACAGAGUGGUGCGGACGCCCGAGUCAGUCGAGUAGCAAUGGUUUUCUCCCUGAUGUAAUCAAACGGAGUGCACGGAUAUCACUUGAUUAACAGCUGCGGUAUUAAUUUCCCUUUUUGGUUGCUUGACUCACAGCAAGAAUCAUGUCAAGGCAGCAGAGAAGCAAUUAAAUUGAUUUUAAUCUUUGUCAGAGAAGA